rnacentral:rRNA from 1 species
UAGGGAAUCUUCGGCAAUGGGGGCAACCCUGACCGAGCAACGCCGCGUGAGUGAAGAAGGUUUUCGGAUCGUAAAGCUCUGUUGUAAGUCAAGAACGAGUGUGAGAGUGGAAAGUUCACACUGUGACGGUAGCUUACCAGAAAGGGACGGCUAACUACGUGCCAGCAGCCGCGGUAAUACGUAGGUCCCGAGCGUUGUCCGGAUUUAUUGGGCGUAAAGCGAGCGCAGGCGGUUUGAUAAGUCUGAAGUUAAAGGCUGUGGCUCAACCAUAGUUCGCUUUGGAAACUGUCAAACUUGAGUGCAGAAGGGGAGAGUGGAAUUCCAUGUGUAGCGGUGAAAUGCGUAGAUAUAUGGAGGAACACCGGUGGCGAAAGCGGCUCUCUGGUCUGUAACUGACGCUGAGGCUCGAAAGCGUGGGGAGCGAACAGGAUUAGAUACCCUGGUAGUCCACGCCGUAAACGAUGAGUGCUAGGUGUUGGAUCCUUUCCGGGAUUCAGUGCCGCAGCUAACGCAUUAAGCACUCCGCCUGGGGAGUUACGACCGCAAGGUUUGA